ensembl:rRNA 5S_rRNA 5S ribosomal RNA
AUCUAUGGCCAUACCACCUUGAACGCACCCUGUCUCCUCUGUUCUGGGAAGCUACUCAGGGUUGGGCCUUGUUAGUACUUGGAUGGGAGACCACCUGGGAAUACUGGGUGCAGUAGGUU